AGAUUGAACGCUGGCGGCAGGCCUAACACAUGCAAGUCGAGCGGUAGAGAGGUGCUUGCACCUCUUGAGAGCGGCGGACGGGUGAGUAAUGCCUAGGAAUCUGCCUAGUGGUGGGGGAUAACGUUCGGAAACGGACGCUAAUACCGCAUACGUCCUACGGGAGAAAGCGGGGGACCUUCGGGCCUCGCGCCAUUAGAUGAGCCUAGGUCGGAUUAGCUAGUUGGUGAGGUAAUGGCUCACCAAGGCGACGAUCCGUAACUGGUCUGAGAGGAUGAUCAGUCACACUGGAACUGAGACACGUCCAGACUCGUACGGGAGCAGCAGUGGGAAUAUUGGACAAUGGGACGAAAGCCUGAUCCAGCCAUGCCGCGUGUGUGAAGAGGUCUCGAUUAGAAGCAACGUUUAAGGUUGGAAGGUAAGGGUUAGUAAUUAACGUUACGUUGCUAACGUUUGAACGUUACCGA
rnacentral:rRNA from 1 species